AGGACGAACGCUGGCGGCGUGCUUAACACAUGCAAGUCGAGCGGUAAGGCCUUUCGGGGUACACGAGCGGCGAACGGGUGAGUAACACGUGGGUGGAUCUGCCCUGCACUCUGGGAGAAGCCUGGGAAACUGGGUCUAAUACCGGAUAUGACCUGCUCUCGCAUGGGGGGUGGGUGGAAAGAUUUAUCGGUGCAGGAGUGGGCCCGCGGCCUAUCAGCUUGGUUGGGUGGGGUAAUCGGCCCACCAAGGCGACGACGGGUAGCCGACCUGAGAGGGUGACCGGCCACACGUGGGACUGAGACACGGCCCAGACUCCGUACGGGAGGCAGCAGGUGGGAAUAUUGCACAAGUGGGACGAAAGCCUAGAUGCAGCGACGCCGCGUGGAGGAUGGAAGGUCC
rnacentral:rRNA from 1 species